GAUGAACGCUGGCGGCGUGCCUAAUACAUGCAAGUCGAGCGAACAGGCGAGGAGCUUGCUCCUCUGACGUUAGCGGCGGACGGGUGAGUAACACGUGGAUAACCUACCUAUAAGACUGGGAUAACUUCGGGAAACCGGAGCUAAUACCGGAUAAUAUAUUGAACCGCAUGGUUCAAUGGUGAAAGACGGUUUUGCUGUCACUUAUAGAUGGAUCCGCGCCGCAUUAGCUAGUUGGUAAGGUAACGGCUUACCAAGGCAACGAUGCGUAGCCGACCUGAGAGGGUGAUCGGCCACACUGGAACUGAGACACGGUCCAGACUCCUACGGGAGGCAGCAGUAGGGAAUCUUCCGCAAUGGGCGAAAGCCUGACGGAGCAACGCCGCGUGAGUGAUGAAGGUCUUCGGAUCGUAAAACUCUGUCAUUAGGGAAGAACAAAUGUGUAAGUAACUAUGCACGUCUUGACGGUACCUAAUCAGAAAGCCACGGCUAACUACGUG
rnacentral:rRNA from 1 species